rnacentral:rRNA from 1 species
AUUGAACGCUGGCGGCAUGCCUUACACAUGCAAGUCGAACGGCAGCACGGACUUCGGUCUGGUGGCGAGUGGCGAACGGGUGAGUAAUGUAUCGGAACGUACCAUUGAGUGGGGGAUAACGUAGCGAAAGUUACGCUAAUACCGCAUAUUCUCCCCGGAGGAAAGCAGGGGACCGAAAGGCCUGGCGCUCUUUGACCGGCCGGUAUAAGAUUAGCUAGUUGGUGGGGGAAAAGCCCACCAAGGCGACAGUCUGUAGCGGGUAUGAGAGGAUGAUCCGCCACACUGGAACUGAGACACGGUCCAGACUCCUACGGGAGGCAGCAGUGGGGAAUUUUGGACAAUGGGGGCAACCCUGAUCCAGCCAUGCCGCGUGAGUGAAGAAGGCCUUCGGGUUGUAAAGCUCUUUCGGCCGGGAAAAAAUCGCAUGGAUUAAUACUCUGUGUGGAUGAUGGUACCGGAAUAAGAAGCACCGGCUAACUACGUGCCAGCCGCCGCGGUAACAC